rnacentral:lncRNA from 1 species
AGUAUAUAUAAAACAUGUUCACUCAGACAAAAGUUCAUCACGAAUUGACACAUCAUAUUAAAAUGAUGUGAGAAAAAAGUGGUGAACAGUGUCCGUGUGAAGAUGGUUUAUAGGACUGAAAGUGUGUAUAAAUUAAGGUGUGUUGUUGGUUUGUGUACUCAGCAAGUAGGGUAGGGUACCCCACAAGUUUUAAGAACGGCUUUGGCACGGGGAGAGUUGACAUACUGCUUAAGGGCAGGGUUGUUGAUGUAACUACAUAGGCAUGGCUUUUGCUCCUUCAGCUUCUGACAGCAAGCUUGUGAAGGUGCACUGCCGCC